CGCGUAGGCGGCGAGAUCAGUCUGAUGUGAAAGCCCCGGGCUUAACCUGGGAACGGCAUUGGAUACUGUCUGGCUAGAGUUUGGUAGAGGGGAGUGGAAUUUCCGGUGUAGCGGUGAAAUGCGUAGAGAUCGGAAGGAACACCAGUGGCGAAGGCGACUCCCUGGAUCAAAACUGACGCUGAGGUGCGAAAGCGUGGGUAGCAAACA
rnacentral:rRNA from 1 species